CGGGGUGUAGCGCAGUUGGUAGCGCGCAGCGUUUGGGACGCUGAGGUCGGAGGUUCGAGACCUCUCACCCCGA
rfam:Dehalogenimonas formicexedens strain NSZ-14 chromosome, complete genome.